UACGUAGGGCGCAAGCGUUAUCCGGAAUUAUUGGGCGUAAAGAGCUCGUAGGCGGUUCGUCGCGUCGGCUGUGAAAACCCGGAGCUCAACUCCGGGCCUGCAGUCGAUACGGGCGGACUUGAGUGUUGCAGGGGAGACUGGAAUUCCUGGUGUAGCGGUGAAAUGCGCAGAUAUCAGGAGGAACACCGGUGGCGAAGGCGGGUCUCUGGGCAACUACUGACGCUGAGGCGCGAAAGCGUGGGGAGCAAACGGG
rnacentral:rRNA from 1 species